rnacentral:rRNA from 1 species
GCCCUUAGAGUUUGAUCCUGGCUCAGAUUGAACGCUGGCGGCAUGCCUUACACAUGCAAGUCGAACGGCAGCUUUUUUAUACUGCGAAGUCUAAUGGGUGGCAAGUGGCGAAUGGGUGAUUAACGCGUAGGAAUAUCCCUUAAAGUGGGGGACAACUUGGGGAAACUCAAGCUAAUACCGCAUAAUCUCUUUGGAGAAAAGCUGGGGACCGUAAGGCCUGGCGCUUUAAGAAUGGCUGCGUCCGAUUCGCUAGUUGGUGGGGUAAAGGCCUACCAAGGCGACGAUCGGUAGCUGGUCUGAGAGGAUGGCCAGCCACACUGGGACUGAGACACGGCCCAGACUCCUACGGGAGGCAGCAGUGGGGAAUAUUGGACAAUGGGGGGAACCCUGAUCCAGCAAUGCCGCGUGUGUGAAGAAGGCCUGAGGGUUGUAAAGCACUUUCAGUGGGGAGGAGAAUUAAUAGGUUAAGAGGUAAUUAAUUGGACGUUCCCCACAGAAGAAGCUCCGGCUAAUUCCGUGCCAGCAGCCGCGGUAAUACGGAGGGUGCAAGCGUUUAUCGGAAUUACUGGGCGUAAAGGCGUGCGUAGGUGGUCUGAUAAGUUAUCUGUGAAAUCCCCGGGCUCAACCUGGGAAGGCCAGAUAAUACUGUUAGACUAGAGUAUGGGAGAGGGUAGUGGAAUUUCCGGUGUAGCGGUGAAAUGCGUAGAGAUCGGAAGGAACACCAAUGGCGAAGGCGGCUUCCUGGCCUAAUACUGACACUGAAGCACGAAAGCGUGGGGAGCAAACAGGAUUAGAUACCCCGGUAGUCCACGCCGUAAACGAUGUCAACUAGAUGUUGGUCAUAUGAACAUGAUCAGUAGCGAAGCUAACGCGAUAAGUUGACCGCCUGGGGAGUACGGUCGCAAGAUUAAAACUCAAAUGAAUUGACGGGGAAGGGC